rnacentral:rRNA from 1 species
GACGAACGCUGGCGGCGUGCUUAACACAUGCAAGUCGAACGGAAAGGCCCUGCUUUUGUGGGGUGCUCGAGUGGCGAACGGGUGAGUAACACGUGAGUAACCUGCCCUUGACUUUAGGAUAACUUCAGGAAACUGGGGCUAAUACCGGAUAGGAGCUCCUGCUGCAUGGUGGGGGUUGGAAAGUUUCGGCGGUUGGGGAUGGACUCGCGGCUUAUCAGCUUGUUGGUGGGGUAGUGGCUUACCAAGGCUUUGACGGGUAGUCGGCCUGAGAGGGUGACCGGCCACAUUGGGACUGAGAUACGGCCCAGACUCCUACGGGAGGCAGCAGUGGGGAAUAUUGCACAAUGGGCGGAAGCCUGAUGCAGCAACGCCGCGUGCGGGAUGACGGCCUUCGGGUUGUAAACCGCUUUCGCCUGUGACGAAGCGUGAGUGACGGUAAUGGGUAAAGAAGCACCGGCUAACUACGUG